rnacentral:rRNA from 1 species
UCCUACGGGAGGCAGCAGUGGGGAAUAUUGGACAAUGGGGGAAACCCUGAUGCAGCAACGCCGCGUGAAGGAUGAAGGUUUUCGGAUUGUAAACUUCUUUAGUCGGGGACGAAUAAAUGACGGUACCCGAAGAAUAGGCCACGGCUAACUACGUGCCAGCAGCCGCGGUAAUA